AUGAGGCCGCAGGUGAUGGCCAGCCCCGGAGGGAGAGGGGAAAGACGGAGCUGGGAUGGGGCCAGAGGCAGCUCCCUUGGGGCCAGGGCUGGGCUGGUGGCUGUGCCAAGGCAGUCGCCUCCUUCCCCCCCAGCCGAGGCACAGAGCCAGGGCCGUGCCCUGCACUGCCCCUGCUGCCCCCGCAGCCUCUGCCCUGGGUGGCUGGAAGCCCUCGGGGAGCAGUGGGAGGGGGCAGUGGGGGGGACAGAGCUGCCAGGGCCACAGACUGUGGGGUGGGACUUGGCCAGGGAGGAGAGAGAGUGGGAGCCCUACAUGGGCCAGGAACUGCCCCAGUGGGGAAAUGAGAGUGUCCAAGAGCUGGAGCAGUGGGAAGACGAGAAAUAUCAGGAGCCUUCGCAGUGGGGAAAUGAGAAUGUCCAAGAGCUGGAGCAGUGGGAAGAUGAGAAAUAUCAGGAGCCUUCGCAGUGGGGAAAUGAGAAUGUCCAAGAGCUGGAGCAGUGGGAAGAUGAGAAAUAUCAGGAGCCUUCGCAGUGGGGAAAUGAGAAUGUCCAAGAGCUGGAGCAGUGGGAAGAUGAGAAAUAUCAGGAGCCUUCGCAGUGGGGAAAUGAGAAUGUCCAAGAGCUGGAGCAGUGGGAAGAUGAGAAAUACCAAGAUGUGUCCCAAUGGGAAGUGGAGGAAGACCAAGAGCUGUCCCACGGGAGAGAUGUGAGGUGCCAGGAGCCUUCCCAAAGGGGAGAUGUGGAUGUCCAAGAGCUGUACAAACGGGAAGACAAAAGAGACCUGUCGCGAUCAGAAGGUGAGAUAGACCCACAGCUGUACCACUGGGAAUUUGAGAGGCACCAAGAGUUACUCAAGUGGCUGGACAUGGGAAUCCAAGAGCUGUCCCAAGAAGAAAAUGACAGUGACAAAGUGCUUCCCCAAUGGGAACACUCAAUUGACCGAGAGCUGUCCGAAGGCGAAGUCGGACGAGACCCAGAGCUGUCCCAAAGGGGACACAAGAGAGACACAGAGGUGUCGCAGGAGGACUGGGAACAGAUCGCCAUCCACACCAUCUGGGUCAACCCCAAGUACCCACAGCUGCUGCAGGACCCCGACGCUGCUCCCCAGGACUCGGCCAAGGCCGCGGCUUCUCGGGCCUCGGCUGAGCAGGGGAGGGCAGCAGGGGCACAGAGCCAGGGCCCUGCCCCGCACAGCCCCUGCUGCCCCCCAGGCCCCUCAGCUCCCCCGCCGGGAGCCCUCGGGCAGCGGCCGGCGGCCCCCAAGAAUCGCCCGUCCCGCUUCAGGCGGGCGCUGCGGGCGCUGCGGGCGCUGCUCCGCUGCCCCUGCCUGCGGCCACGGCCGGACAAUCAGUGA
rnacentral:lncRNA from 1 species